GCUAACUUUGUAUCCUAGGGCCAUGUGGUGGUUUUAUUCUUCCUGAAUUCAUUUGUGAGUGCCCAUCUGGCUGCCAGGCAUGGUACUGGGCAUGAGACGUGUGUGCAGAGAGGGGCAGGUGGGAUUCCUGGACGCCAGAGCUCAUGCUUCUCCUGGUCACCUCCUCUGCAGACUCAGAGGCUCACUGUCAAGGGGGCCUUGAAGAUGGUUCCACCCACCUCCACGUUUUAUGGAAGAGGAAACUGAGACCCAGAGAGGGGAGCCACGAGCGCAAGAUCACACAGCAAGUCACAGGAGAAGCUGGGGCCACUUCCCAGAGGCAGUGAGUCCUGGGACACGGUGGCAGGACCAGCGGCAGAAGCAGCUGUGGGCUGUUGAGCCCGGCACCCCUGGCAUGGAAUCUGGGCUCUGCUACCAUUCAGCGACCUUGGGCGGGUCCAGCAAUGCCUCCAAGCUUGUUUCUCCAUCUGGAAUGUCGGACUAACGAUCCUUGUCCUGCAGAGCAGUCACACGGAAUGAAUGAGACGUGAGAGGUGCCUCAAUAAAUAGUCUUGUGCCUCAACAAAUAUUGCUUCUCUACCCCUUUCUCUCUCCAAAGCUUUGCCUCAUCAUUUCCAAUCUCCCAUCUCUGGGCCAAUUUUCCCACUCUUAUUUAAGAUCAUACAAAUUUCCUGAAUCGACAAGGAUUCAAAUGAAUGUAAACUUAAUACCUUUAGCUUAACUUCUCUGGGACUCAAUGUUCUUCUCUGUAAAAUGGGAGAAAAUCCUCCCUACCUCCCAGGAUUUGGGUAGCGGGGAUUAAAGGAGACGAGGCAGGUAAGGCAUUUAGCACAAUGGCCAGCCCAAAACACAAGCUUAACGUCAUCUCGGCAUCUCCAGAGACUGAUCACCUGAGCUCCCGGGAGGCAUGGGAGACACUGCGCCUGCCCUUGGCAGGGCCACACCUGCAUCAGAAGUACUGGCAAACUUGGUAUUUCACAGCACCCUCCAGGGUGCCCUGAAGCAGCUCAGAAAGGCUGAUUUAGAAGGCAUGUUUUCUUUGCUGUGUCUCUUUUUAACUUACUUUGCUUUGAUUUUUCAAUUUGCUACUAAUUGUGUAUGAAUUACCUGCCUCUGUGAUCUGUACAUUAAAUAUGACUGU